rnacentral:rRNA from 1 species
GGAAUAUUGGUCAAUGGGCGCAAGCCUGAACCAGCCAUGCCGCGUGCAGGAAGACGGUCCUAUGGAUUGUAAACUGCUUUUAUACAGGAAGAAACCUCCCUACGUGUAGGGACUUGACGGUACUGGAGGAAUCAGGAUCGGCUAACUCCGCGCCAGAAGCCGCGGUAAUACGGAGGAUCCAAGCGUUAUACGGAAUCAUUGGGUUUAAAGGGUCCGUAGGCGGCCUUAUAAGUCAGUGGUGAAAUCUCCUAGCUCAACUAGGAAACUGCCAUGGAUACUGUAGGGCUUGAAUUUUUGUGAAGUAACUAGAAUAUGUAGUGUAGCGGUGAAAUGCUUAGAUAUUACAUGGAAUACCAAUUGCGAAGGCAGGUUACUAACAAACGAUUGACGCUGAUGGACGAAAGCGUGGGGAGCGAAC